GAUGAACGCUGGCGGCGUGCUUAACACAUGCAAGUCGAACGAAGCACCUCUCCCGAAGAUUGACACAGCUUGCUGUAGAUUGAUUCAUUUGAGGUGACUGAGCGGCGGACGGGUGAGUAACGCGUGGGUAACCUGCCUCAUAGAGGGGGACAACAGUUGGAAACGACUGCUAAUACCGCAUAGUAAGAAGAAUUCGCAUGUUUUCUUCUUGAAAGAUUUAUCGCUAUGAGAUGGACCCGCGUCUGAUUAGCUAGUUGGUAAGGUAACGGCUUACCAAGGCGACGAUCAGUAGCCGGCUUGAGAGAGUGAACGGCCACAUUGGGACUGAGACACGGCCCAAACUCCUACGGGAGGCAGCAGUGGGGAAUAUUGCACAAUGGGGGAAACCCUGAUGCAGCGACGCCGCGUGAGUGAAGAAGUAUUUCGGUAUGUAAAGCUCUAUCAGCAGGGAAGAUAAUGACGGUACCUGACGAAGAAGCCCCGGCUAACUACGUG
rnacentral:rRNA from 1 species